UGAAAGCUAGCUCAGUUGGUUAGAGCAUCAGACUCAUAAUCUGACGGACACAGGUUCAAAUCCUGUACUUUCCACCG
rnacentral:tRNA from 1 species